rnacentral:rRNA from 1 species
AGAUUGAACGCUGGCGGCAGGCCUAACACAUGCAAGUCGAGCGGAUGAGAGGAGCUUGCUCCUUGAUUCAGCGGCGGACGGGUGAGUAAUGCCUAGGAAUCUGCCUAUUAGUGGGGGACAACGUUUCGAAAGGAACGCUAAUACCGCAUACGUCCUACGGGAGAAGGCAGGGGACCUUCGGGCCUUGCGCUAAUAGAUGAGCCUAGGUCGGAUUAGCUAGUUGGUGAGGUAAUGGCUCACCAAGGCUACGAUCCGUAACUGGUCUGAGAGGAUGAUCAGUCACACUGGAACUGAGACACGGUCCAGACUCCUACGGGAGGCAGCAGUGGGAAUAUUGGACAAUGGCGAAAGCCUGAUCCAGCCAUGCCGCGUGUGUGAAGAAGGUCUUCGGAUUGUAAAGCACUUUAAGUUGGAGGAAGGCAGUAAGCGAAUACCUGCUGUUUGACGUUACGACAGAAUAAGCACCGGCUAACUCUGUGACCG